rnacentral:rRNA from 1 species
UGGGGAAUAUUGGACAAUGGGCGAAAGCCUGAUCCAGCCAUGCCGCGUGUGUGAAGAAGGUCUUCGGAUUGUAAAGCACUUUAAGUUGGGAGGAAGGGCAGUAAGCGAAUACCUUGCUGUUUUGACGUUACCGACAGAAUAAGCACCGGCUAACUCUGUGCCAGCAGUCGCGGUAAUACAGAGGGUGCAAGCGUUAAUCGGAAUUACUGGGCGUAAAGCGCGCGUAGGUGGUUCGUUAAGUUGAAUGUGAAAGCCCCGGGCUCAACCUGGGAAGUGCAUCCAAAACUGGCGAGCUAGAGUAGGGCAGAGGGUGGUGGAAUUUCCUGUGUAGCGGUGAAAUGCGGAGAUAUAGGAAGGAACACCAGUGGCGAAGGCGACCACCUGGGCUCAUACUGACACUGAGGUGCGAAAGCGUGGGGAGCAAACAGG